UACGGGAGGCAGCAGUGGGGAAUAUUGCACAAUGGGCGCAAGCCUGAUGCAGCCAUGCCGCGUGUAUGAAGAAGGCCCUUCGGGUUGUAAAGUACUUUCAGUCGUGAGGAAGGUGUUAAGGUUAAUAACCUUAGCAAUUGACGUUAGCGACAGAAGAAGCACCGGCUAACUCCGUGCCAGCAGCCGCGGUAAUACGGAGGGUGCGAGCGUUAAUCGGAAUUACUGGGCGUAAAGGGCACGCAGGCGGUUAAUUAAGUUGGAUGUGAAAUCCCCGGGCUUAACCUGGGAAUGGCAUUCAAGACUGGUUAGCUAGAGUCUUGUAGAGGGGGUAGAAUUCCAUGUGUAGCGGUGAAAUGCGUAGAGAUGUGGAGGAAUACCGGUGGCGAAAGGCGGCCCCUGGACAAAGACUGACGCUCAUGUGCGAAAAGCGUGGGGAGCAAAACAGGGAUUAGAUACC
rnacentral:rRNA from 1 species